GGAGGUAGUGACAAUAAAUCACAAUGCGGGACUAUACGUCUUGCAAUUGGAUUGAGAACAAUGUACAACUCUUAUCGAUAAGCCAUUGGAGGGCAAGUCUGGUGCCAGCAGCCGCGGUAAUUCCAGCUCCAAUAGCGUAUAUUAACGUUGUUGCAGUUAAAAAGCUCGUAGUUGAAGUGUGGGUGAUCGCUGUUGUGAGACUUCGGUCUCUCGACAGUAAGUCACCCCCUUCCAGUAUCCAGUAGUGGGUAUUCACUUACUUACUAUUGUGUGUUGGUCAUUUACUGUGAGAAAAUUAGAGUGUUCAAAGCAGGCGUUUGCUUGAAUAGAUUAGCAUGGAAUAAUAAUUGAAGGCUUUCGUGUUCGAUUUGAUUGGUUUGUUCAUGGAAGCAAGGUUAAAAGGAACAGUUGGGGGUAUUCAUAUUCACUAGUUAGAGGUGAAAUUCUCGGAUUUAUGGAAGAUGAACAAGUGCGAAAGCA
rnacentral:rRNA from 1 species